GAUGAACGCUGGCGGCGUGCCUAAUACAUGCAAGUCGAGCGAACGGACGAGAAGCUUGCUUCUCUGAUGUUAGCGGCGGACGGGUGAGUAACACGUGGAUAACCUACCUAUAAGACUGGGAUAACUUCGGGAAACCGGAGCUAAUACCGGAUGAUAUUUUGAACCGCAUGGUUCAAAAGUGAAAGACGGUCUUGCUGUCACUUAUAGAUGGAUCCGCGCUGCAUUAGCUAGUUGGUAAGGUAACGGCUUACCAAGGCAACGAUGCAUAGCCGACCUGAGAGGGUGAUCGGCCACCCUGGAACUGAGACACGGUCCAGACUCCUACGGUAGGCAGCAGUAGGGAAUCUUCCGCAAUGGGCGAAAGUCUGACGGAGCAACGCCGCGUGAGUGAUGAAGGUCUUCGGAUCGUAAAACUCUGUUAUUAGGGAAGAACAUAUGUGUAAGUACCUGUGCACAUCUUGACGGUACCUAAUCAGAAAGCCACGGCUAACUACGUG
rnacentral:rRNA from 1 species